AUGAUCAUCGCUGAACCUGUAAUAUGGGAUAAACUUAUCAAGGACCAUGCAAGGAUAAAGAAGUUCCGUUCAAAACCAUUCAUGCUCUUCAAGUCAUUGGCUUCACUACAUGAAGGAAGUGUUGCUUCAGGAGACUUGAACUUUGUAUCAAUUCCGCAAGUGGAUCUCACAAGCGAUGCCAUUUCUCCUAUGGAUUCCUCUACCAAUGAUUUGAACCAUAUCUCCUCUACCAAUGUUGAUGAUGGUAUGUCCUCAUCUGAUAUACAAGGGCAAGGGGCAUCAAGAAGAGAUGAACCUGAAGCUACAACAUCUACCAACUCUGAACAAAAAGGGAGCACUGCCUGUGAAAAAGAGGAAGCAAAGCUAGAUCGCUGUUGUACUUGA
rnacentral:rRNA from 1 species